rnacentral:rRNA from 1 species
GCGUAUGAUUAGCUAGUUGGUGAGGUAACGGCUCACCAAGGCUACGAUCAUUAGCUGGUCUGAGAGGAUGAUCAGCCACACGGGAACUGAGACACGGUCCCGACUCCUACGGGAGGCAGCAGUGGGGGAAUCUUAGACAAUGGGCGAAAGCCUGAUCUAGCCAUGCCGCGUGAGUGAUGAAAGGCCCUAGGGUCGUAAAGCUCUUUUCGCUGGGGGAUGAUAAUGACAGUACCCCAGUAAGAGGAAGAGCGCCCGGCUACACCUCCCCGCUCGCCCAGCAGCCCGCGGUAAAUACGGAGGGGGGUUUAGCGUUGUUUCGGAAAUUACUGGCGUAAAGCGCGCGUAGGCGGGAUCAGAAAGUUAGGGGGUGAAAUCCCCGGGGCUCAACCCCCGGACUGCCU